GCGGCCUACACAUGCAAGUCGAGGGGUAGAAGGAAGCUUGCUUUUUUGAGACCGGCGCACGGGUGAGUAACGCGUAUGCAACCUACCUUAUACAGGGGAAUAGCCCGAAGAAAUUCGGAUUAAUGCUCCAUGGUUUAUCGAUAUGGCAUCGUAUUGAUAAUAAAGAUUUAUCGGUAUAAGAUGGGCAUGCGUAUCAUUAGCUAGUUGGUGUGGUAACGGCAUACCAAGGCAACGAUGAUUAGGGGUCCUGAGAGGGAGAUCCCCCACACUGGUACUGAGACACGGACCAGACUCCUACGGGAGGCAGCAGUGAGGAAUAUUGGUCAAUGGAGGCAACUCUGAACCAGCCAUGCCGCGUGCAGGAUGACGGUCCUAUGGAUUGUAAACUGCUUUUGUACAGGAAGAAACCUCCCUACGAGUAGGGACUUGACGGUACUGUAAGAAUAAGGAUCGGCUAACUCCGUGCCAGCAGCCGCGGUAAUACGGAGGAUCCGAGCGUUAUCCGGAAUUAUUGGGUUUAAAGGGUUCGUAGGCGGUCAGAUAAGUCAGUGGUGAAAUUUCUUAGCUUAACUAAGACACGGCCAUUGAUACUGUUUGACUUGAAUAGUAUGGAAGUAACUAGAAUAUGUAGUGUAGCGGUGAAAUGCUUAGAUAUUACAUGGAAUACCAAUUGCGAAGGCAGGUUACUACGUAUUUAUUGACGCUGAUGAACGAAAGCGUGGGGAGCGAACAGGAUUAGAUACCCUGGUAGUCCACGCCGUAAACGAUGGAUACUAGCUGUUCGGUUUUCGGACUGAGUGGCUAAGCGAAAGUGAUAAGUAUCCCACCUGGGGAGUACGUUCGCAAGAAUGAAACUCAAAGGAAUUGACGGGGGCCCGCACAAGCGGUGGAGCAUGUGGUUUAAUUCGAUGAUACGCGAGGAACCUUACCAGGGCUUAAAUGUAGAUUGACAGAUUUGGAAACAGAUUUUUCUUCGGACAAUUUACAAGGUGCUGCAUGGUUGUCGUCAGCUCGUGCCGUGAGGUGUCAGGUUAAGUCCUAUAACGAGCGCAACCCCUAUUGUUAGUUACCAGCGCGUAGUGGCGGGGACUCUAGCAAGACUGCCGGUGCAAACCGUGAGGAAGGUGGGGAUGACGUCAAAUCAUCACGGCCCUUACGUCCUGGGCUACACACGUGCUACAAUGGCAAGUACAGAAAGCAGCUACCUGGCAACAGGAUGCGAAUCUCCAAAGCUUGUCUCAGUUCGGAUUGGAGUCUGCAACUCGACUCUAUGAAGCUGGAAUCGC
rnacentral:rRNA from 1 species